AACGUUACNNNNNNNUUGUCUCGGCGGGAUCUUCUGCCCCGGGUGCGUCGCAGCCCCGGACCAAGGCGCCCGCCGGAGGAAUCAACCAAAACUCUUAUUGUAUACCCCCUCGCGGGUUUUUUUUAUAAUCUGAGCCUUCUCGGCGCCUCUCGUAGGCGUUUCGAAAAUGAGUCAAAACUUUCAACAACGGAUCUCUUGGUUCUGGCAUCGAUGAAGAACGCAGCGAAAUGCGAUAAGUAAUGUGAAUUGCAGAAUUCAGUGAAUCAUCGAAUCUUUGAACGCACAUUGCGCCCGCCAGUAUUCUGGCGGGCAUGCCUGUCCGAGCGUCAUUUCAACCCUCGAACCCCUCCGGGGGGUCGGCGUUGGGGAUCGGCCUUCCUUCACGGGGGCCGUCUCCGAAAUACAGUGGCGGUCUCGCCGCAGCCUCUCCUGCGCAGUAGUUUGCACACUCGCAUCGGGAGCGCGGCGCGUCCACAGCCGUUAAACACCCAACUUUCUGAAAUGUUGACCUCGGAUCAGGUAGGAAUACCCGCUGACCUUA
rnacentral:rRNA from 1 species